GGUGGGGUCGCCAAGUCAGGUGAUGGCGCCGAUUUCAGAAGUCGGUACCCGAAAGGGUUCAUGGGUUCAAAUCCCAUCCCCACCG
rnacentral:tRNA from 1 species